rnacentral:tRNA from 2 species
GCUGAUGUAGCUCAGUGGUAGAGCACGUCCUUGGUAAGGACGGGGUCGCCGGUUCAAAUCCGGCCAUCAGCU